rnacentral:rRNA from 1 species
GACGAACGCUGGCGGCGUGCCUAAUACAUGCAAGUCGAACGCAGUGGGGACGGGUGAUUAACACGUGGGUAACCUCCCAUCAGACGGGAUAACACUUGGAAACAGGUGCUAAACCGCUACUGAUGGAUGAACCCGCGGUGCAUUAGCUAGUUGGUGAGGUAACGGCUCACCAAGGCCACGAUGCCUAGCAGAUCUGAGAGGGUGAUCGGCCACACUGGGACGGAUACACGGCCCAGACUCCUACGGGAGGCAGCAGUGGGGAAUCUUGAGCAAUGGACGAAAGUCUGAUAGAGCCACGCCGCGUGAGUGAAGAAGGUUUUCGGAUCGUAAAACUCUGUUGUUAGAGAAGCGUUAUCUAACAAGAAAGCCACGGCUAACUACGUGCCAGCAGCCGCGGUAAUUC